rnacentral:tRNA from 1 species
CCCCUGGUGGUCCACUGGUUAGGACUUGGUGUUUUCACUGCCAAGGGCCUGGUUCAAUUCCUGGUCAGGAAA